UCACCAAUUGCGCCGAGCUCCAUCCAUUGGUGCGCGGGGACAACGAGAUACAACUUGGAUGGAGGCGGGGGACCCACCGGUCCACCGAAAUACAGGACCAGGAGCCGAACUCGGUUCCUUGGGGUGAAGCCGUCGCCGUUUCGACGACGCCGGCCGGGCGACCUCUCCAGCCCGAACCCGACAGCUGACCUCGCGGGCGCUUCAGAGAGGACCA
rnacentral:sRNA from 2 species